GGCAGUUCUCAGGUGACACACCCUGGAAUUAGGCUCCCUGCUCUCUGGUUCCAGGUGUGUUACCCGAGAACCGCA
rfam:Myotis brandtii contig290559, whole genome shotgun sequence.